rnacentral:rRNA from 1 species
UACGGGGGGGGCAAGCGUUGUUCGGAAUUACUGGGCGUAAAGGGCGCGUAGGCGGCCUUCUAAGUCGGACGUGAAAUCCCUCGGCUUAACCGAGGAACUGCGUCCGAUACUGAAAGGCUUGAAUCCGGGAGAGGGAUGUGGAAUUCCAGGUGUAGUGGUGAAAUGCGUAGAGAUCCGGAGGAACACCAGUGGCGAAGGCGACACGCUGGGCCGUACCUGACACUGAUGCGCGACAGCAUGGGGAGCAAACAGG